rnacentral:rRNA from 1 species
UACAUAGGGGGCAAGCGUUAUCCGGAAUUACUGGGUGUAAAGGGUGCGUAGGUGGUUAUAUAAGUCAGAUGUGAAAACCCGAGGCUCAACCUCGGGAAUGCAUUUGAAACUAUGUAACUAGAGUACAGGAGAGGUAAGUGGAAUUUCUAGUGUAGCGGUAAAAUGCGUAGAUAUUAGGAAGAACACCAGUGGCGAAGGCGACUUACUGGACUGAAACUGACACUGAGGCACGAAAGCGUGGGGAGCGAACAGG